AAAAACUCAAUUCUUAAGUUGCCGUGUACAACAUUUAACUAUUUAUCUUAUAUGAAUUUUUUCUAUAAUUAGUAUUUUUAUUGUUGUUAGAUGAUAAAACAUGGAUAAUAUUUUUUGUGUGACUUAUUUUUAAUAUUUUUUAAAAAUAAUACGGACGUUCAAACGCUAGACACGAAAAUCCA
rnacentral:pre_miRNA from 1 species